rnacentral:rRNA from 1 species
GAUGAACGCUGGCGGCGUGCCUAAUACAUGCAAGUCGAGCGAACGGACGAGAAGCUUGCUUCUCUGAUGUUAGCGGCGGACGGGUGAGUAACACGUGGAUAACCUACCUAUAAGACUGGGAUAACUUCGGGAAACCGGAGCUAAUACCGGAUAAUAUUUUGAACCGCAUGGUUCAAAAGUGAAAGACGGUCUUGCUGUCACUUAUAGAUGGAUCCGCGCUGCAUUAGCUAGUUGGUAAGGUAACGGCUUACCAAGGCAACGAUGCAUAGCCGACCUGAGAGGGUGAUCGGCCACACUGGAACUGAGACAGGUCCAGACUCCUACGGGAGGCAGCAGUAGGGAAUCUUCCGCAAUGGGCGAAAGCCUGACGGAGCAACGCCGCGUGAGUGAUGAAGGUCUUCGGAUCGUAAAACUCUGUUAUUAGGGAAGAACAUAUGUGUAAGUAACUGUGCACAUCUUGACGGUACCUAAUCAGAAAGCCACGGCUAACUACGUG